ACAGAGGUGGCAAGCGUUGUUCUGAAUUACUGGGCGUAAAGCGUGCGCAGGCGGUUGUGCAAGACAGAUGUGAAAUCCCCGGGCUCAACCUGGGAACUGCAUUUGUGACUGCACGACUGGAGUGCGGCAGAGGGGGAUGGAAUUCCGCGUGUAGCAGUGAAAUGCGUAGAUAUGCGGAGGAACACCGAUGGCGAAGGCAAUCCCCUGGGCCUGCACUGACGCUCAUGCACGAAAGCGUGGGGAGCAAACAG
rnacentral:rRNA from 1 species